rnacentral:rRNA from 1 species
ACGCUGGCGGCGUGCUAACACAUGCAAGUCGAACGAUGAUAGAGAGCUUGCUUUUCUUGAUUAGUGGCGCACGGGUGAGUAAUGCAUAGAUAAUGUGCCCCUUAGUUCGGGAUAGCCACUGGAAACGGUGAUUAAUACCGGAUACUCCUUCUUGUUAUAAGACAAGUCGGGAAAGUUUUUCGCUAAGGGACCAGUCUAUGUUCCAUCAGCUUGUUGGUGAGGUAAUGGCUCACCAAGGCUAUGACGGAUAUCUGGUUUGAGAGGAUGAUCAGACACACUGGAACUGAGACACGGUCCAGACUCCUACGGGAGGCAGCAGUGAGGAAUAUUGCACAAUGGAGGAAACUCUGAUGCAGCAACGCCGCGUGGAGGAUGACGCAUUUCGGUGUGUAAACUCCUUUUAUUAGGGAAGAUAAUGACGGUACCUAAUGAAUAAGCACCGGCUAACUCCGUGCCAGCAGCCGCGGUAAUACGGAGGGUGCAAGCGUUACUCGGAAUCACUGGGCGUAAAGGGUGCGUAGGCUGGCUUUUAAGUCAGAUGUGAAAUCCAAUGGCUCAACCAUUGAACUGCAUUUGAAACUGAAAGCCUAGAGUUCAGAAGGGGCAGAUGGAAUUAGUGGUGUAGGGGUAAAAUCCGUAGAUAUCACUAGGAAUAUCAAAAGCGAAGGCGAUCUGCUGGGAUGAUACUGACG